AAGCUUCUACUUUCUACUUUUCACUUUCUUUUUAUUUUAAAAUUAAAUUAAUUAGACUAUUUGCAACGACCAGGUUGCCACAAAGGAUAUUCAGGGGCGACUAUUUACAAGUCGCCACUAAAAAUAUGGAGGCAAAAUUUUGGUAUUAGCGGGAAUGGAAAAUUACAGAAUUAGCGACACCUAUUAAUGGCGACCUAUUAUAGCUCGCCACUAAAUAUUUAGCUUCUGCAGUGACAUUAUUUGUCGCCACUGAAUAUGUAACUAUUGUGGCAGCUAAUACUGUCGCCACUAGAUAUCGCCACAAUAAAUCUUGUUUCUUGUAGUGGCUUCAAGGAAAUUAGUUGUUCCUUCUGUGAGUUAUCUCUACAAGGAUUUAACUUUAUUAGCUGAUUCUAAACAUAUUUGAGCUUAUGGCCUGGUGUAAUUGUGAUUCUAAUCUAUUAUCAAGUAUACCUAAAAAUGGUGACAUCGAGGGGUCAAAUGGAGAAGAUGAAGCUACAUUCGUAUCACAUAAACACUGAUCUCAUGCGAGUCACACAGUCUGAUACUCUUUUUUGAUGUUUCCCACUUUGGUGGGAAAGGAGGCCAUCCAUUUGAAGUGAUGCACUCGGCCCUUACUGGAGUAGUACAGUUUUCCUUCCUACCUCCAGCAACAAGACUUAAUAAAGCUAGAAAAUACUGUGGUCCUUAAGAAUAAGCUGCAACUGAAGUGUACGUAUCUGGACAAUGAGGAUUCACAACUAUUGUGGCUGGUGUAGCGGUAAUGAUACUACCGAGUGGCUAAGGCAGGGUGAAAGAUGAUCUACCGAAGCUUGGAGGAAAAAGAUAUCUUAUACUAAAGCUUUGAAAUAGUCCUUACACUCAAAAGUGGAUAUUCAUUAUCUUUUAGAUGAAGCUUGGAGAAAAAAGAUAUCUUGUACCGAAGCUUUGAAUUAGUCCUUACACUCAAAAGUGGAUAUUCAUUAUCUUUCAAAUAUUUGGUAAAGUUUUGUCUCUCAAUGCAUGAAAGUAUAUCAAGUGUUAUUAUGUUUUGUACAUUUAAUUAGUGUGACAAUACACUUGAAUUGAGUGUGAGAAUA